UUGUUAAUCACAUUGUCGAUGUUAAGGUAGAUAUAAAUAAUUGUGAGGACCUACUUUGAAGGCAAAAUGGAUUUUAUGGCUGCUAAAAUAUUUAGUUUUAUAUUCUCUUCCAUUUUGAAUUAUAUGCAAACGUUUCUUGUAUGGGUCGUUCGGAAAUAAAAAUAACACGUUUCUUUCAGAUAAGAUUUCAACUCAAAUCUGUCUUUUUUGCUCAUUAAUAAUCAUUACUGAAUAUUUGUGGUAUUGGUUUUGGAUCAUAAUUCUGUAAAUUUUCUCGCUAUGGAGAAAUAUUUUGGAUACUUGAUUAUUAGUCAAACACAAUUGUUAAAACCAUAUGUAAUGUUUUACUUAUUUUGGAAGAGAGAGGGAUCACGACUUCUGUCUGUCCGUUAUGAGCUUAUGCAACAUCUUCCAUCUCAAUAUCGAUGCUAUUAUUGUCAUAUGGGUAAUUUUUAACUUGAAAUUUGAAUUUUCAAACAAACACAACAUCUAUUACAAAAUAAUAAUUUAUGAUGCUUACUUUUUUUAAACAAUGUUCUGUUUUGUAAUUUGAGAAGUCCUACUUGUAUUAUAAUUUUGUUGUUCAAAGAUAGAUUUGGAUAUGGAUGAUGGAUUUAAGAACCUUUCAAUGGAUGACAAGAUAAGGAUGUAUUGUAUCUUCACAUGCUUUUUAAAUGUCAUUAGCAAAUGCAUUAUAAAAUAGAUCUUGUUGAAGUAUAUAUAAUCUAUAUACCACAAAGACACACGCACACUCACCAUUAGUGAGUCUUAAACUCGUGACCUCCAUGGAGGCUAGGGUCUACCAGUAACCUUAAUACCGAUAGGCCAAUGACCUUUUGAUAUUUUUUCUUAAUUGGUGAAUAAUGUUUUUUGAAUUUGUUUUUAUAUCGUCACAUAGUUUUGGAGUAAUGAUGAAAAUAUGCAUGGAACCCAGGCCCUGUUAUGUAUUUGGGCAAAGUCUUCCCACUCCUUUGCCAAUUGAGCUACACGCCAGAGGCAAAUAAUUGAUUAUUUUACAAUAUAGCGUUUUUGUAUAUUCUGAUAUAUGUUGCUUAGAGAAAUAUUUGAUUAUUAAGUAAAGAUAUGUUGCAAUUAAUUACAAAAAUAUCAAAUUCCUAACACAUGCAUACCAAUAUUUGAGAAUUAAUGGUUGUAGUGUUUCAUAUUCAUAAUAUAUUAUUAGAUUAUGAGGGAGGUAGGAAAAAACACUUAGGUAACCAUUAGUGCAAAAUUGCGUCGUUUUGAUGGUAAAUUGAUUAUAAUUUUAGUAAUAAAAAUAUAUAAAAAAAAUGAUGACGAACAACUACAAAUUGAUGAAUAGAUGUAUGCUAGUGAUAAAAAUUACGAGAAAUUAUGAAUAGAUGGAAAACCACGAGCUUGUAAUAAAAAACUAGUAGCUGGUAACAUGAACCUAGAAAAGAAUGACACCUCAUUAUCGUUUUAUAUAAAUUGCCUUAAUCUAAGUAUCCUUGAUGAUUCAUUCACUUCUACUUCCAUGAACAAAACAAAAUGUCAUUCACUUGAACGCAAAUACGUCGUAAAUGAGCAUUGAACUUUUAUGUUUUCGUGUUGACAUUAUUGAACAAAAAAAAUGAUUGCAUGUUUGGAUAUUUGUAAUGGUAUGGAUUACAUUAUUUGAUCUAUUCGUAUACAAAUUAGCUAAUUUAAGGUAAAAUCAAAUGAGUUUGAUAAGGCAAUAAACUGUAAAGAAUAUGUGGAACCUUAUUAGAUUACUCUUCCAAAAAGCCUUUGAGGAGGUUCCAACAUAUAUAGGGAAAUAAAUGGUCCAAGUCCAACCGAUAUAGGACCCCUAACACGCCCCCUCCAACGGAAGCUAGACGGGCACAAAUUCUCCCGUGUUUUAAGAGUGGCUAGACGAGUAGAUACUGUUGCAGAGUGUCGAGUGCCUGGAAUGGUAGGUCUUGGUUUUGUUACCAUGUCAGAAUAUUUGGAACUCCAUUAGAUUACUCUCCAAAUGAGCCCUUGAGGAGAGAAAGGAGGUUCCAACAUAUAUAGAGGAUAAACGGUACAAGUCUAGCCGAUGUGGGAUUCUAAUAGAAAAUGUUUGCCAUUUUUCGUUAACAGAAGUAUAUACCAUCAGCCAUUGGAUGCUUAUGUCUUGUUUGGUACAGUGGAAUGAAAUUGCAAAUGAAUAUAAUGGACAAGUAAACAAAGCGAGCACUGUAAUGUGAUGGGUCACUACCAUUCAUUAUUGUCUUUGGUUGGCUUUCAGUAAUAGGUGACAAAAUGGCAAGUUGGGUAGUGGGUCUGGGUUGAAUGGACAAAUGUUUAGGCUGGGUCAAAACAGGGGUCGAUUCGAGAUGACCCGCCAACUCCUUUUUUCCUUUAUUAUAAAAUUUUAUAAAUACUUAAUAUAUUAAAUAUGAUCACAUUAUUAAAAUUACAAUCCAUUCUUUUCAAUGUAUGAAGUAGUAAACAUUCAAAUAUGCUUUAAGCAACUUUUAAACCAUUUGAGCCGUCUCCUUUUUAGGUAAAAAUUUUAAUUGUAACCAUUUGACCCGUUAACAAUAAAAUAGAACCCGAAUCGGUUCGUUCUUAUGUACACGGGUUGAAUUUGUCACCUCUAGCUUAUAGGAAUGAUUUCAUUGUUUGAUAUGCACUAAACAUGUGAAGCCUUUGUUUAGACAUCUUAUGGGACCAAAUUAUAUUUUCAGUAUAUCAAGUACUUAACAUUUUGGUCAAUUUAACUUAUGUGGACCAAUAACUUUUGGAGGAGUUGAGUACAUUAUGCUGGGGACAUAUGCUUACCUUUCAUAAUCGAAGUAGAAACUGCGUCAUCUUGUUUGAGAUGUAUCUAAAGCAUUUCUUUUAUUGGUCUUCAAUUUUAUUACGUAACGCUUUUAUAUUCUAACAUUUUAUCACUAAACUUUUUAUAAACGAAAACUUGGUCUCUUGCUGUACAACAGCAUGCUGAAAUUUGCAUCAUGUACUAUAGCAUUGAGUUUGAUUGUGAUGGUGAAAUGUUUGCUUCUGCUGGAAAGUUUUUCACUUCUCGAUGGUGAGUUUUCCACUUCUUGAUGGUGUACAACAGCAUACUGAGUUUUGCAUUAUGUGCUUCAAGGCGUAUAAAAGGUUUUUCACCUCUUGAUGGUGAGUUUUCCAUUCCAGAUUCUUUUCUUUAAUAGUAAUAAUGGCUGAGUAUGGCCUGACAAUGUACUCAGUUUCAGAAAGAUUGAUAUUUCAUAAUAUUCAAGUAUCAAAAAAGCUACUUAUUAGGUAUUAUGAACAACUGAAAAUUGGUGAGAGAAGGAUAAGUAGGGUGGAUAUUUGUAUGUCAAAAUCAGUAAUGUUGUUGUCGUUAGAUAUUCUUGUGAAAUGGCUUUAAUUGAUUGCAACUGUAAGUUCUUGGUAUCUUGCAAUUCUUUUCUGUUUUGUUGCUUGUGCACCUCUGUAGUCAUGACGCUAAAACAUCUUCAAGUUGUGAAAAUGUAAAUACUUACUGGUUCCAAAUGUGGAUGCUCAUGAUUUCAGUGAUACCUUACUUGCAGGUUGAUAAUAAUCCCUCAGAAGUAACACUGCCCUUUAUGGAGAUGCCCACACAAUCAACGGUUAGUUACUUGAACUGGUACAAGCAUAUAAAUAGCCAUAUAUCCACAGUGAUUGAACUGGAACAAGCAUAUAAAUAGCCAUAUAUUCACAGUGAUUGCCCUCGGGCGUGUAGCUCAGUUGGCAAAGGGGUGGAACAACUUUGCUCAAAUACACAACAGGUUCAAGUUUGAAUCCUGCAGGAAACGGGCUUGAACCCCUCCUCUAGCCUCAGCCGCAGAGUCUGCUCUGAAAUGCCUCCUCACACGUGGUUCCUAGGGGGCGGGUUCCUUGUGGGGCCAGUCAGGGUUGCUGAUAAUCAACCUUUGCUCAAAUAUCCAGCAGUGAUUAUGAAAGAAUAAUAACUGUUUGGGAUAUGAACCGAACAUGUAAUUGGGAUGCUGGUUACAAGAGUGAUGCAAUACGAAGAGCACGACAAACGGGUCCGGAGUGUUGAUUCUUACCACUUAGAACCAUCAAUACUAUCAGGACGGGGUCAAGUCUUACCUCAAUCUGGUCACCAAGGUUGAUGACAAUGGAAUGGCGCAUGGGUGGAACAUUGAUCCAUUCACCGUC